CACGUAGGGGGCAAGCGUUGUCCGGAUUCAUUGGGCGUAAAGAGCUCGUAGGCGGCUCAGCAAGUCGGGUGUGAAACCUCCGGGCUCAACUCGGAGACGCCACCCGAUACUGCUGUGGCUAGAGUCCAGUAGGGGAGCGUGGAAUUCCCAGUGUAGCGGUGAAAUGCGCAGAUAUUGGGAGGAACACCAGCGGCGAAGGCGGCGCUCUGGGCUGGAACUGACGCUGAGGAGCGAAAGCGUGGGGAGCGAACAGG
rnacentral:rRNA from 1 species